rnacentral:rRNA from 1 species
UUAAAACUCAAAUGAAUUGACGGGGGCCCGCACAAGCGGUGGAGCAUGUGGUUUAAUUCGAUGCAACGCGAAGAACCUUACCUGGUCUUGACAUCCACAGAACUUUCCAGAGAUGGAUUGGUGCCUUCGGGAACUGUGAGACAGGUGCUGCAUGGCUGUCGUCAGCUCGUGUUGUGAAAUGUUGGGUUAAGUCCCGCAACGAGCGCAACCCUUAUCCUUUGUUGCCAGCGGUC